CGCAGUGGGGAUAUUGCACAAUGGGGGAAACCCUGAUGCAGCCAUGCCGCGUGUAUGAAGAAGGCCUUCGGGUUGUAAAGUACUUUCAGUUGUGAGGAAGGCGUUGGAGUUAAUAGCUUCAGCGUUUGACGUUAGCAACAGAAGAAGCACCGGCUAACUCCGUGCCAGCAGCCGCGGUAAUACGGAGGGUGCGAGCGUUAAUCGGAAUUACUGGGCGUAAAGCGCAUGCAGGCGGUCUGUUAAGCAAGAUGUGAAAGCCCGGGGCUCAACCUCGGAACAGCAUUUUGAACUGGCAGACUAGAGUCUUGUAGAGGGGGGUAGAAUUUCAGGUGUAGCGGUGAAAUGCGUAGAGAUCUGAAGGAAUACCGGUGGCGAAGGCGGCCCCCUGGACAAAGACUGACGCUCAGAUGCGAAAGCGUGGGGAGCAAACAGGAUUAGAUACCCUGGUAGUCCACGCCGUAAACGAUGUCUACUUGAAGGUUGUGGCCUUGAGCCGUGGCUUUCGGAGCUAACGCGUUAAGUAGACCGCCUGGGGAGUACGGUCGCAAGAUUAAAACUCAAAUGAAUUGACGGGGGCCC
rnacentral:rRNA from 1 species